UACGAAGGGGGCUAGCGUUGCUCGGAAUCACUGGGCGUAAAGGGUGCGUAGGCGGGUCUUUAAGUCAGAGGGGAAAUCCUGGAGCUCAACUCCAGAACUGCCUUUGAUACUGAGGAUCUUGAGUAUGGGAGAGGUGAGUGGAACUGCGAGUGUAGAGGUGAAAUUCGUAGAUAUUCGCAAGAACACCAGUGGCGAAGGCGGCUCACUGGCCCAUUACUGACGCUGAGGCACGAAAGCGUGGGGAGCAAACAGG
rnacentral:rRNA from 1 species